rnacentral:rRNA from 1 species
AUUGAACGCUGGCGGCAGGCCUAACACAUGCAAGUCGAGCGGAGCGGCGGACGGGUGAGUAAUGCCUAGGAAUCUGCCUGGUAGCGGGGGAUAACGUCCGGAAACGGGCGCUAAUACCGCAUACUAUCAGAUGAGCCUAGGUCGGAUUAGCUAGUGGGGGGGGUAAAGGCAUACCAAGGCGACGAGCCGUAACUGGUCUGAGAGGAUGAACAGUCACAGUGGAACUGAACCACGUUCCAGACUCCUACGUGAGGCAGCAGUGGGAAAUAUUGGACAAUGGGCGAAAGCCUGAUCCAGCCAUACCACGUGUGUGAAGAAGGUCUUCGGAUUGUAAAGCACUUUAAGUUGGGAGGCGUUACCAACAGAAUAAGCACCGGCUAACUUCGUGCCAGCGGCCGCGGUAAUAC